GCCCUCCUGUGGCACAAUGGGUCAGCACAUCUGGCUGUCAACUGGGAGGUUGGUGGUUCGAGCCCAGCCAGGGAUG